UACAUGUUUGUUUGAGGAGAGCAGAGUUGUACUCACUUCCUCUAUCUGAUAUCAGUUGUUUGAUUAUUUUUUUUAGUCGAUUUUUUACUUUUUUAUUGUAAGCCAAAAACUUCUAUUCAGCUUUAUCCUUUUUUUUUAGUAAAUAGACUUUGGGGUACUUAGAGAAAUUAUCGAUAAAGGUUAUAUAAUAUUUUUUCACCUUUAUUUUCAAUGUAUUUUAAAACAGCCAAAUCAGAAUAAAUAAAUUCAAGAAGAAUAGAAGCAAGAAAAGCAACAGAAGAG
rnacentral:lncRNA from 1 species